AUACGAAGGGGGCUUUUAGCGUUGUUCGGAAUUACUGGGCGUAAAGCGCAUGUAGGCGGACAUUUAAGUCAGGGGUGAAAUCCCGGGGCUCAACCUCGGAACUGCCUUUGAUACUGGGUGUCUAGAGUGUGGAAGAGGUAAGUGGAAUUCCGAGUGUAGAGGUGAAAUUCGUAGAUAUUCGGAGGAACACCAGUGGCGAAGGCGGCUUACUGGUCCAUUACUGACGCUGAGGUGCGAAAGCGUGGGGAGC
rnacentral:rRNA from 1 species